GACGUAGGAGGCGAGCGUUAUCCGGAUUCACUGGGCGUAAAGCGCAUGUAGGCGGUUGCACAAGUCCGUUGUUAAAGCCCCUGGCUCAACUGGGGGGAGGUCAAUGGAGACUGUGCGACUUGAGGGCAAUAGAGGCACGUGGAACUCCCGGUGUAGCGGUGAAAUGCGCAGAUAUCAGGAGGAACACCGAUGGCGAAGGCAGGUCUCUGGGCCACUACUGACGCUGAGAAGCGAAAGCGUGGGGAGCGAACAGG
rnacentral:rRNA from 1 species